UACGGGGGGAGCAAGCGUUGUUCGGAUUUACUGGGCGUAAAGGGCGCGUAGGCGGUCAGCACAAGUCAGUUGUGAAAUCUCCGGGCUUAACUCGGAAAGGUCAACUGAUACUGUGCGACUAGAGUGCGGAAGGGGCAACUGGAAUUCUCGGUGUAGCGGUGGAAAUGCGUAGAUAUCGAGAGGAACACCUGCGGCGAAGGCGGGUUGCUGGGCCGACACUGACGCUGAUGCGCGAAAGCCAGGGGAGCGAACGGG
rnacentral:rRNA from 1 species